rnacentral:misc_RNA from 1 species
GGAAUAAUGUUUCAUUUUUGGUGGAUAGUACAAAAUAAGAAACAUUAAUAUCUUUCAUAUUUAUCUUUUGCAAAAGGUGACACAGCCUUGACUCCAUUUGUUGAUAUGUCAUUUCACAUGUUAGCUUCUUUUUCAUUUUUGUUUAUAUUAUCCACAAACAAGUAUGUACUUGAUUUCUGUUCACUGUUCAGCUGGUCAUAACUAUAGUUUUUUUAUUUCUUAUAGUGUACUGUUUGCAAUCAUAAUUUAUCUUAGUCUUCUGUCUCUGUCCUUUCAUUUGUGUCCCUGGCACCCUAAUUUUAGUUUAAUCCUUGGUCACAAGCUCUAUUGAAAACGAUAAAAAUUUUGCUGAUGCGUAUCACAAAACAAUCGAUUCAAAGUGCAGUAGAUAUUUUUCCUUUGCAACUUACGGGGGGAAAAAAAUUCAUGUCCUUUCUAGUAGUUAUUGCUCAUAUGGACUUCUGGGGUGAAAUUACAGAAUAUAGCAAAACCGUCACUAGUUGUACUACUUUAUAGUAUUCUUUCUUUUUAGUUCUAAAUUUUAUUUUACUUACACAUGCAUUUUGAGUUUUGACUUUGUUCUUUUGCUUCACUUUCCUAAUGAAUUAUGUUUUAUAUGGAAGCAGGAUCAUUAGAUGUACAAGCAGAC